rnacentral:rRNA from 1 species
UACAGAGGUCUCAAGCGUUGUUCGGAUUCAUUGGGCGUGAAGGGUGCGUAGGUGGCGCUGUAAGUCGGGUGUGAAAUUUCGGAGCUUAACUCCGAAACUGCAUUCGAUACUGCGGUGCUUGAGGACUGGAGAGGAGACUGGAAUUCAUGGUGUAGCAGUGAAAUGCGUAGAGAUCAUGAGGAACACCGGUGGCGAAGGCGGGUCUCUGGGCCGAUACUGACGCUGAGGAGCGAAAGCAUGGGUAGCGAGCAGG